rnacentral:lncRNA from 10 species
AGGCUGCAGCACGCCAGAGAUUUCUGUGAUGCACUCUGGGCUGCCCUAGUGUAAGCAGAAACAGGGGAAGCCUGGGAGUGUCUGUCUGCGGCAGUUUGAGGCAAACUCAACAUAUAUAUAUAUUCAACAUUCAGGUCUCUGAAAUGUUACCAAGGACCUCCUGGGUCUGGGUGCCUUAGUUCACGAAAUGCUGCCCUACCAGAUUUUGGGGAUCCAGAUUUUAGAACAACCGCUUUCAAUCUUGGGAAGCAAUGACAUCGAUGAUAAAAAUCGCCCUGGGGGCAGGUCCCUUGCUGUAGCUAUUUUCAUAUAAAUACCUUCAACAGCACAUUAAAACUGAGGCAGAAAACAAUGAUUACGGCUUCUAAACUUGGAUUCAUAUUUUCAGACCCGUGUUGCUAUGGCAACAAAAACGGCAUUCUUUUAAUUCAUCAAAAAUGUAUUUCAUUCAUACAGUACUUACGUUUCAAGACGGUUAGUAAAGAUUAAAGGAGUUCAAGCAUGUAAAACACUUAGGACGGGGCCCAGCACAAAGAAAAUACAGAAUGAAUGUUAAUGCUAUUAAUACUUCAAUCUCUUUAAUUUGCCAAAGAUUUAUUGGACACUUCUAUGUGCUGCACAGUGCUUUAGACUAUGCCAAAAUAAAAGACCCAAGGAUAGAAUAUAUACUGUAGUGGAAUUGGUAAUCUUUUAUUAGCUUUCAGGUUUGUAACAUGAAAAGGAUGAUAGCAGAAUAAGACAGAUUAAUGUGAAAAGAGGAAGUCACCAUAAAAUGGCAGGCGCUUUAAUAACAUGAGAGUUAAUGCCUGCAGAGGACUUCCUCUGUGGCAAACAUUGGAUGCAUGUCUCAUGCAACUUCCAUGACUGUCCUUCAUACAGACAAGGAAAUUAAGGAUUAGAAAGGAAUUGGCUGCAACACCCGCAGUUGGCAGAACAGCGUUUACUCCGGGCCAAUGUGUCUUCAAGCCGGGUGCCUGGAGUCUUACCCCUUCACUCUGGUAACCUGGAAUUGAUAGACAGGAACUUGCUCACCACAGCCCCAAGCCUUUUGUAACAACGUGGUGGUCUCCAUUUCAGUUGGGACACACCGAAGGCAUACACGGUCUGCGUGCUGAACACUGGGCAAGGUUUUCUGAGCCAAAGGCUGCCCUGCUUGGGUUGAGCUGGGAUCUCUGGAGUUGAGGCUACCUCAUUUCACUGAGGUAAAUAAUGAUUGGUCUCUCUGUGUUCCACACUAACAUAGUUAAUUCUAUUUUAGUAGGUAAUUGAUAAUAUUCUUCUGCCACUGAAAUUAAUUCGAACCAGAUGCCCAGACUUAAUAUUUCC